rnacentral:siRNA from 1 species
AUCAAAUAUCUCUACGGUUUGA